GACAUUGUCUGGUGGCCUCUGUUAAUGGGAGCACAGCACAACUCACAACUAAACGUUUUACAGCUUUUCAUGUCCCCAAAAGCUUGGUUUGCAUACAUAAACAAAAAGCAACAGUUUAAAGUGGUGGCUUAUUUCUACCUUUUUCUUUCGGCAAAAAGAUGACCCCCUUGAACCAUUUUUCACAUUUUCUUUUGUGUUAUUUGUUGAAGAUAACAGAUCACUAUUGUCCUUCAUUUUAUUUUAUUUGUAUGGCUUUUUCGAAGUUGUCUUUUUGUUUUUGACAAAUUAAAUUCCCCAUAUGUACGUGUCUGCAUAUUCUAGUGUCGUGUAACACUUGACAGGUUCAGACAAGCUGAAUCUUGAACAUGGCUGCCCUACCCUUGUUAAACUUUCCAGAGUUUCAAAACCAUUUCUCAUCCUUUGAUCUAAUUCAAUUAUAGCUUAAUAUUCUUGGCUUUUAUUGUUACUUGGUCUUUACUUAAACAAGAAAAUCAAGUACACAUGAGCCUUCUUGUUAAAUAAAAGGCAAUAACUUUUGUCUUCAGUACCUAGUUUAAUAAGAUAACAGUCAGAAAUUCCAGUCGUGGGCUUUUGGGUCCACCCCAUGUACUAUUUGCAGCAAUAAUGAAAUUUGAAGGGAAUUACAAUUUUUUUUUAA